rnacentral:lncRNA from 1 species
AUAUUAUUUGCUGCUUCACCACUCAGUGUUAGUGUCCCUGAGGCCUGCCUUGCACUACUUUCUCUAUCUAAAAUAUUCACAUGCCUGUAACUGAAUUCAAGGAAAACAAAGCCUGGGGCUAGAAGGAAGUGUAGGAAUCCAAGGAGAAAUAUCCGUGGUAGAUUUCAAUUAAGAAGCUCUGGCAUUAAGCAAAAUAGGUGAAGAAGCUUUACACGUCGUUUCCCUUUUGAGUCGCUCAGCCAAAUUCAUCAGUGUAAAGGAAGAGGCAAGUAUUUAAUUCAAAGUUAAAGAAGUACUCAAACCCAAGAGCCCUUUAAAGAAACAACAUAGGAGUCAGUGAGUGAGUGGGGGAAGCAGCCAAGAUGGACAAACAAGAACAGCUCUGGUCUACAGCUCCCAGCAUGAGCGACGCAGAAGACAGGAAGGACCUCAGGAAACCUGCCCAGCAAUCAUAAAUGCUGCUUUCAUCCUGCAAGUGAUCUUACUUUGCAUGCCACUGAGCCACAGGUUCAUGAGCAAGAGAGUAGAAGUGAAUUUUAUUCUGAUCUUGUCUAGACUGAAGCUGGCACCAUAUUCAAUUAAGGACAUUCCUACAUUGAUUGUCAAGGUGUUGAAAUUUCCACCAUGUAGUUUUUUCUCCACACUCACAGAGAGGCUCACGGUAAACCUCCUAAAGCAUCUUAUUAAAAGAGAAACGCUACAGCCAUAGUCACAGAUGAGCUCUGGUGACUAAAAUCCCACCUACCACUACUUGACUGUUGCGGUCCCUGAAGCCUACAAAAUCGCAGAAUGAUUGCUGGUUCUCAAACCUCUAGGUUACUUUAUGAUUGGGAAUUUUACAUAUAUCCAUUGCCUGAAAUGCCCUUAGCAUCUAUUACCCUUUGAGACUUAGCUUCAAUAUCAAGUAAUGAAGCCUUUCUUAAGUACCUAGAGAAAAUCAGUUUUCCGGUCUUUCAUGCUACCUUUGUACACACAGCUUUCUGUUGUUACCUUUUCAAAUCAAUCAUUUCACCAUUAUUUCUCUAUGCAUUCAUUCAUUAUUUCAACAAAUAUUUAUCGGGUGUUUAAUAUGUUUAUAGCCAUGUGCUAAGCACUGAGGUUAUACUUUGUCGUGACUCCAUGGUUAAACUCCACAGGGACAAGAUCCACACAAAUAUUCUGUGUGAAGGACACAUAAAUAGUUUGGGGGUACAUCAUGCCUAUGACUGAUAUGAAGAAGGUGUAAACAAAUGUAUAUUGAAUUAAAGAAUACCUUAAAUAUUUGUUUGUAAGAGAUAUAGUUUUAGGAUUUGUUACAAUAGUUAGAAAAGGGUUUCAUGAAUAUGGAAUGAAAGCUUAGACUGCAACUGUUUUACAAAGCGCUUUUAAAAGUAACUACUAAAAUAAUCUAGUAACACUUUUAGAGUCAUUUAGAAAAGAAUAAAAUAAUCUUAGCCUAGCUAACAGGAUGUUCCAAUAAAACUAUUGUGAAGUGGUAGGACUCUUGAUUAUGGUGAGAAUGGGUCAGAAUGGAUGAAUCAACACAUUUGUGUAAAGAAUAAUAUCUAGAAAUGAUGACAAUGUAUAUUUGAAAGAAAAGAGUAUUAAAAAUGUCUUUAAAUUUUCCAAUUUGUUGUACUCAUAGGAAAAUAGGAGGUGAAAAUGAAAUACUUAGAGAUGGUGUCUUAAUUUAUUUCAAGAAUUUGAGGUAAAAAGGAACUGCUCUGCCCUGUUAAUAUGUGAGAUGAGCAAUUUAGGAGGGAGGUCAGACUGGAAAAGUGAAUUUACUGAACACCAUGAUAGUCAUGUUGUUUAAUGACUUAAGAAUAGACAGUAAAAGAGGUUCUCCUAUCAUAGCCCUACAUCCUCUGGAAAUACAUGCUACAUUAAAAUUUAUAUUUCUAUUUCCAUAUGCUUGGUAUGACUAAUGGCAGAAACUGUGAAGAAUCCUAGGAGAAAAAUGGUCUGCAUUUGCUUCAGACUUAUUGCAAAGUGUAUGUAUGAAGGAAAACAUUACUUCUAAUUCUACCAGACCAUCACCUG